rnacentral:rRNA from 1 species
GAUGAACGCUGGCGGCGUGCUUAACACAUGCAAGUCGAACGGGAAACAUUUCAUUGAGGCUUCGGCGGAUUUGGUCUGUUUCUAGUGGCGGACGGGUGAGUAACGCGUGGGUAACCUGCCUUGUACUGGGGGAUAACAGCCAGAAAUGGCUGCUAAUACCGCAUAAGCGCACGGGACCGCAUGGUCCUGUGUGAAAAACUCCGGUGGUAUAAGAUGGACCGGCGUUGGAUUAGCUAGGUGGCAGGGCAGCGGCCUACCAAGGCGACGAUCCAUAGCCGGCCUGAGAGGGUGAACGGCCACAUUGGGACUGAGACACGGCCCAGACUCCUACGGGAGGCAGCAGUGGGGAAUAUUGCACAAUGGGGGAAACCCUGAUGCAGCGACGCCGCGUGAAGGAAGAAGUAUCUCGGUAUGUAAACUUCUAUCAGCAGGGAAGAUAAUGACGGUACCUGACUAAGAAGCCCCGGCUAACUACGUGCCAGCAGCCGCCGUAA